UACGUAGGGGGCAAGCGUUGUCCGGAUUUAUUGGGCGUAAAGAGCUCGUAGGCGGUUCCGUAAGUCGUGAAGUCAAAUCUCUGGGCUCAACCCAGAAUCGCUUCCGAUACUGCGGUGACUGGAGUCCGGUAGGGGAGUGUGGAAUUCCUGGUGUAGCGGUGAAAUGCGCAGAUAUCAGGAGGAACACCGGUGGCGAAGGCGGGACUCUGGGCCGAUACUGACGCUGAGGAGCGAAAGCGUGGGGAGCAAACAGG
rnacentral:rRNA from 1 species